AGUUAAUGGAAUUUUAUCAGCCUUUCCCAUUUGUGUAGUCUGGGCAGGUUAGGAUUUCAGGGGUGGUUUGAAGGUGGGGCCGGAGGCUUGGGAGGGACCUAUGGAUAUCUGCAGGGAGGGCGUGACCAAGGCUGCCUGGAUGACGGCGGGGGACGGUGGAAUAUAUCUCCCCCUGCCCUCUCCACCUGCAUGUCCCAGGUCCAGCCCUGCCCAAGUUCUAUCAUUUCCCCACAGCGAAGGGGCAGAACUCAGGCACCUCGACACUCAGGUCCAGCGCUGUGAGGACAUCCUGCAGCAGCUGCGGGCCGUGGUACCCCAGAUAGACAUGGAAGGGGAUCGCAACAUCUGGAUCGUGAAGCCAGGAGCCAAGUCCCGCGGACGAGGCAUCAUGUGCAUGGACCACCUGGAGGAGAUGCUGAAGCUGGUGAACGGCAACCCCGUGGUGAUGAAGGACGGCAAGUGGGUGGUGCAGAAGUAUAUUGAGCGGCCCCUCCUCAUCUUUGGCACCAAGUUUGACCUCAGACAGUGGUUCCUGGUAACUGACUGGAACCCACUUACCGUGUGGUUCUACCGCGACAGCUAUAUCCGCUUUUCCACGCAGCCCUUCUCCCUGAAGAACCUGGACAAGUGAGCCCCUCUGCUCGCCUCCCACGAGCUCCCUGCCUAGUUGGGGAGCUGGCAAGCAAACAGGCGAUUACAAUGCAGGGGACUCGUGCAGCAGCGCUAGGCUCCACACACAGACUGCAGGCAGGCGGGCCCUCAUCCUGCCAGCUGUCCUUGCAUCCAACAGAUUUUUUUUUUAACACACAGGGGGCGGUCUCACUCUGUUACCUAGGCUGCAGUGCAGUGGCAUGGUCACGGCUCACUGUAGCCUUGACUUCCUGUGCUCAAGCAAUCCUUCCUCCUCAGCCUCCCAAGUGUCUGAGACCACAGGCAUGUACCACAGCUGAUUUUUAAAUUUUUUUAUGUAGACAUGGGGUCUCACUAUGUUGCCCAGGUUGGUCUCAAACUCCUGGGCUCAAGCAAUCAUCCCACCUUGGCUUCCCAAAGUGCUGGGAUUACACUAUGCCUGGCCCCUCCAACAGAUUUGACCGAGUGUGUACCUUGUGCCAUGCACUGUUCUGGGCACUUGGGGUAUAGCAGUGAACAAAACAAGAUCCCAGCUCUCAAGGGCUUACAUUCUAGCAGGGAGAAACAGGCAAGCAAUGAACACAAGUGAAAUUAUCUAACAGGUUAAAAGAUUAUUUGGGCCAGGCGCAGUGGCUCAUGCCUGUAAUCCAAGCACUUUGGGAGGCCGAAGUGGGUGGAUCACCUGAGGUCAGGAGUUCGAGACCAGCCUGACCAAUAUAGCGAAACCCCGUCUCUACUAAAAAUAUAAAAAUUAGCUGGGCGUGUUGGCGGGCGCCAGUAGUCCCAGCUACUCGGGAGGCCGUGACAGGAGAAUUGCUUGAACCUGGGAGGUGGAGGUUGCAGUGAACUGAGAUCGUGCCAUUGCACUCCAGCCUGGGUGACAGAUCAAGGAUCUGUCUCAAAAAAAAAAAAAAAAAA
rnacentral:sRNA from 1 species